GCUGGGCAUGGUGGCGCAUGCCUGUAGUCCCAGCUACUUGGGAGGCUGAGGCAUGAGAAUCGCUUGAGCCCGGGAGGUGGAGGUUGCAGUGAGCCACCAUUGUGCCACUGCACUCCAGCCUGGGUGACAGAGCAAGACUCUGUCUCAA
ensembl:misc_RNA Metazoa_SRP Metazoan signal recognition particle RNA